rnacentral:lncRNA from 1 species
CACUUGAUGAAAUAUACUUUGGGAAAGGCCAUCUUUUUUGAGGCUCUCUUAGAACCUCUGAUUGUAGCUGGUAUUUUUAAGAGCCCAGAUUCUUCACUGUGGGAGACUACGGCUUUUGAAGAGUCAGCCAACCAGCUUGAGAGUGAAUAUAAUCACCCAUUUUCUAAAAUGAAAGAGGAGACUUGGGACCAGCCUCCGCUGUGUGGUACCGAGCAAGAGCAGCUGCAGACAUGCAGAGCUGGUUUUCAACUCAGGCGAGGCAGUGUAUCAGCUGUGUAACCCUAGCAAUUCCUUCAACCCCUCUGCAGCUGUCUCUCCCCCUGCAAAAUGUAACAAUUGCUGCUGUGCCCCCUUACGGGAUGCUGAAAAAAAGGGUAAGUAAGACCCUGCCUGUUUCCUUCCAAAUUUCUUCAUGGUCCAAGUAUCUUUAUGUAAUCACAGAAGACUGAGGGAAUAAUGACACCAUUUCAGGAUUUAAAAAAUAAUUGUGAAACAUUCCUUGAAGAGACCUUCCUCCACAUAAAGACAGCAGCAUCAGCUGCUCAACAGACACCCCUUGGUGAACAAGAUAGAGGCUCUCCAGGCAAGUCACAAGCAAGACUGCAACUGCAGUCAGGUUCUGUGGUCAGCCACAGAGGGACCUAAGGCAGCAGCAGUGGCUCAAGGAGAGCUGCAUCUACAGCUGAAGCUGAAGGAUUCUGAUGGACAUCAGACCUAGCUAUGGACAGAGGGGUAACCUGAAGAACUGAGGAAUGCAUGAGUCUGAGCCAAGGGGGCCUCAAGCCUACAGAUCUUUCUUGUCAUUAUUAAUGGCAUCCACAUUCUUUGAAUAUCCUCCUUAAGGCAGAUGUGGGGCUGAGGGGAAUUAAGAAUUAGGUUACUGUGUACUAUAUUCAAGAAGUUCUUAUUGUCAACUUAAAUAAAGACAGAGAAAAUUAUGUCUGAAUAUGUUGCGUUUACUCAGGAUUAUAAUCUGGAAUGCACAGAAUGGCAAGCCACCAGCCUGUUUGGUGAGAGAAGG